AACGAACGCUGGCGGCAUGCCUAACACAUGCAAGUCGAACGAGACCUUCGGGUCUAGUGGCGCACGGGUGCGUAACGCGUGGGAACCUGCCCUUAGGUUCGGAAUAACUCCCCGAAAGGGGUGCUAAUACCGGAUAAUGUCUUCGGACCAAAGAUUUAUCGCCUUUGGAUGGGCCCGCGUUGGAUUAGCUAGUUGGUAGGGUAAAAGCCUACCAAGGCGACGAUCCAUAGCUGGUCUGAGAGGAUGAUCAGCCACACUGGGACUGAGACACGGCCCAGACUCCUACGGGAGGCAGCAGUGGGUAAUAUUGGACAAUGGGCGAAAGCCUGAUCCAGCAAUGCCGCGUGAGUGAUGAAGGCCUUAGGGUUGUAAAGCUCUUUUACACGGGAUGAUAAUGACAGUACCGGGAGAAUAAGCUCCGGCUAACUCCGUG
rnacentral:rRNA from 1 species